rnacentral:rRNA from 1 species
AUACGAAGGGGGCUAGCGUUGUUCGGAAUUACUGGGCGUAAAGCGCACGUAGGCGGACUGAUCAGUUAGAGGUGAAAUCCCAGGGCUCAACCCUGGAACUGCCUUUAAUACUGUCAGUCUAGAGAUCGAGAGAGGUGAGUGGAAUUCCAAGUGUAGAGGUGAAAUUCGUAGAUAUUUGGAGGAACACCAGCGGCGAAGGCGGCUCACUGGCUCGAUACUGACGCUGAGGUGCGAAAGCGUGGGGAGCAAACAGAAUUAGAAACCCUAGUAGUCC